GGUUAUUCACUUUAGGAACAUCUAUUCUAAUUUGGGGUAUACUUUCGAACUCUAAAACCUUCUUCCCGUCUUCAUAAAAAUUUCUCCCAAACCCUACCCUGCAUCACAAUCUUCUCCUGCUAGGCUUUGUAUUCGUCUUCUUUGGCUUGACUUUGUGUUCGUCUUCUCUUCUUGUUUGGUUUCGUGUUUGUCUUCUCCUGCGAGGUGGAGCAUUGAGGUGGAGGCGUCGAGGUGGAGGCAUCAAGGCAUUUGUGGGUUGAGCGAGUUCAAGGUACUCUGACGCGCUCCCGCACUGACCGUCAAGAUCUAGCAUUCGUGAAAUGCGUUAUUGCUUGUUUAUGUAUACUGGAAAGUGCAGAUACUGUUGUAUCUCUUUUCAUCUGGUGUGAAGCUGAGUUCAACUGUUUAGGUGCAGAAAUAGCGGGGAAGCCCAGGAGGAGUGCUUGCUGAGGUUACAGAGUCGCAUUGACAUUCCAUACGAUAGUUCUAUUCCUGAGCACCAGUGGUUAGCAGGAAAACCCAAAAGAAGAAAUUAAAAGCACAGUAGAGAUAGCAGUGGUGUAACUUAUGUUGGGAGAUCAAUUUCAUUCUUUUUAGGAGUCCUAUUAGCUGUGUUACAAGAUUUGGAGAUUGUUCUGCUAAAAAAUUCUCAAGCGGUAUCUUCAUUGACAUCACAAGUCAAUGAAAUGAAGGCAAUCAUGACACUUUUGUUGCAAAAUCAUCAAGGUCCAUUGCCUUCACAAUUUACAGUAUUUCAAAGAUCAUCGGUAUCUGAUCAAGGGAGUGGGCCAAACAAUGGAUGUAAUGAAGAAAAAAAUUAGAUAUUUUUAUUGAAUACUUUUAUGAGUCAUACUUUUAGUAUUGAACAUCUAUAUUGAAUAUAUGUAAUGAACUUCUUUCUUUUUAAUUUUUAUGUAUGAACAAUUAGUUGUAUGAAUGAUAUUAAGUUGAACAAUGUAGUUUAAUUUA